rnacentral:rRNA from 1 species
UGAGGAAUAUUGGUCAAUGGGCGCAAGCCUGACCCAGCAAUGCCGCGUGAAGGAAGAAGGCCCUCGGGUUGUAAACUUCUUUUAUCAGGGACGAAGGAAGUGACGGUACCUGAUGAAUAAGCUCCGGCUAACUACGUGCCAGCAGCCGCGGUAAUACGUAGGGAGCAAGCGUUAUCCGGAUUUACUGGGUGUAAAGGGCGCGUAGGCGGGAUGGCAAGUCAGAUGUGAAAUCCAAGGGCUCAACCCUUGAACUGCAUUUGAAACUGUCGUUCUUGAGUACUGGAGAGGUUGACGGAAUUCCUAGUGUAGCGGUGAAAUGCGUAGAUAUUAGGAGGAACACCAGUGGCGAAGGCGGUCAACUGGACAGCAACUGACGCUGAGGCGCGAAAGCGUGGGGAGCAAACAGGAUUAGAUACC